GACAGAGGAUGCAAGCGUUAUCCGGAAUGAUUGGGCGUAAAGCGUCUGUAGGUGGCUUUUCAAGUCCGCCGUCAAAUCCCAGGGCUCAACCCUGGACAGGCGGUGGAAACUACCAAGCUGGAGUACGGUAGGGGCAGAGGGAAUUUCCGGUGGAGCGGUGAAAUGCAUUGAGAUCGGAAAGAACACCAACGGCGAAGGCGGCUCACUGGCCCGAUACUGACGCUGAGGUGCGAAAGCGUGGGGAGCAAACAGG
rnacentral:rRNA from 1 species